GCGCCCGCCGGGAUCUCGGCCGCGCGUCUCGUGGGCGAGGUUCGUCUCCUCGUUCGCCGCGACCACGCCACGGGGCCAUGUCGUUGCCGCCGUCAAAGGGGCCGCCUGAAAAUAAGCAGUCAGCAGCGCCCGAGGAGCAGCGGUCGGCGCCUGAAACCGGCCAGCAGCGACCGCCCGAUAAACAGCAGCCAGCACUUCAGAAACAACCUGCACCGCCUGAAAAACGGCAGACGCCGUCAGAUAUUCGGCAGCCACCGUCCGCAAAGCGGCAGGUGCCGCCCGGGAAGCCGACGUCACUACCGGAAAUCAGGGAGCAGUUAGCGCCUGAAAAGCAGCCUCCAGAUCCCAGUAAGCAGCAAACGUCGUCGUCGUCGUUGUCUGGAAAGCCGCAGGCCCCGCCGGAAAAUCAACGGUCAGAGCUCCGCAAGGAGCAGGCAACAACGCCGCUGCCUUUCCAUAAACAGCUGCAGCCUGCAGAGUCCGAACACCUCCCUCCGCCGCCGCACUGGUCAACGUCCCGCUCGCCGCUGUCGUUCGUGGAGCUCGAGGAUGAGUCGCCGCCGGCGCCGGCAUCGACGUCCUUCUCUCCUCCUCCCCCCACCUGCGCGCCCUCCUCGGACGAGAUCACGCCGGGCGCCAAGACGAUCCAGGUGACCCCUCAACGCUCGCCGGCGCACAUAUCGCACGAGCUGCUGGUCUCGAUGGCCGAGGCGAACCGCAACUGGCCCGGGCCCGUGCCGCUGCCCCACGGAAGCUACCGGCACCGGUGCCGCUUCGAGUGCGUCCACUCGGGUCAGUACGGAGUGGUCUACGUCCGGCCCAAGGACUGGCAAGGGGACAGGACCAACUAUGUCAACCUUCCACACGUCAUCGCCAUGGUGGGUCUUCCUGCCAGGGGCAAGACGUACAUUGCCAAGAAGCUGACUCGGUACCUCAACUGGAUUGGCAUCCAGACGAGAGUGUUCAAUGUUGGCGAAUAUCGGCGUCAAGCAACGGAGGCCUACAAGAGCCAUGAUUUCUUCAGAGCAGAUAAUGCUGAAGCCAUGGCCAUCCGCAGCAAGUGUGCCUUGGAUGCUCUCGAGGACAUGUGCAAAUGGCUGGAGUCUGAAGGGGAAGUGGCAGUGUAUGAUGCGACCAACACAACCUAUGAAAGGCGCAAGCUCAUCUUCAACGUGGUCUGUGAGCGAUUUGGCUUCAAGCUGUUCUUUGUGGAGUCCUACUGUGACGACCCCAAGAUUAUUGAAGCCAACAUUCGGGAGGUGAAGGUCAACAGCCCAGACUACAAGGACAUGAACAAGGAUGAUGCCCUCCUUGAUUUUGUGCACCGCAUUGAACACUAUAAGGCUUGCUACCAAACCCUUGAUGAAGUCCAGGAAAAGCAGUACUCAUUCAUGAAGAUCUUCAACACAGGACAAAAGGUUGUCGUGCACAGACAUGAAGGGCACAUCCAGAGUAGGGUAGUCUAUUACCUUAUGAACAUCCACAUCAUGCCAAGAUCCAUCUACUUGACGAGGCAUGGCGAAAGUGUCCUGAACCUGCAGGGAAGGAUUGGUGGGGAUGCUGAUCUCUCCGAACGGGGACGGGAGUAUGCACUUGCACUGGCGAAGUUCAUAAAGAAGCAGUCCAUUCCACGCCUCCGUGUGUGGACGAGUCAGCUGAAGCGCACCAUCCAGACUGCAGCAGGCAUUGAUGCUCCACAAGAGCGGUGGAAGGCUCUGAAUGAAAUUGAUGCCGGCAUAUGUGAGGAGAUGACAUACGAGGAAAUCCAGGCGAAGUUCCCUGAAGAGUUUGCUGCCAGAGAUCAGGACAAGUUUCAUUACCGGUACCCACGAGGCGAGUCCUAUGAAGACCUGGUGGCUAGAUUGGAGCCUGUCAUCAUGGAACUGGAGCGCCAGGAGAAUGUCCUUGUGGUUGCGCACCAAGCUGUCCUGCGUUGUCUGCUUGCCUAUUUCCUUGACAAGAACUCUGAAGAGAUGACCCGCAUUCACGUACCUCUGCACUCCAUCCUACACUUGAGGCUGACGGCUCACGGCUGCCAGAUGUCAGAGUUGAAGACAAACGUGGACGCUGUGGACGACCACGAGCUCCUCUGAGCGCCACUACAGUGUUGUUCCGCAUGUUUUUUUUUUUUUUUUUAUUGCUUUAACCUCUGCCCCCUUCUUCUCGGACUUUAUAUUUUUUACUAGUGCUUCCAUGUGUAGGGGUUGUAUGGUUUGGCACUGGCAAUCCAAAGAGCAGGUGGGAUGAUGUCGUGAGACAUUGCCUUGUGUCUUGUGUCCGAGGUACCAGUUUGGACCGAUACAGUAUGAAUGCACUCUUUUCACUCUGCCGUGUUAUCACUGAAAGCUUAGGUUGUGUGUUGUAGCGUUGCAACUGUCAAGAGUUUGCAACCUUCCAGCCUUUGGAACCUUACUUUAUUUAAAAUGACCAAAACACAUUAGUGCCCAUGAUCACAAGAUGCAAUAAGAUAAUGAGUACAGAUCUGCUUGGACCCCUAAAUGAGCACCUGCUUGUAGAUUUUCAAACUCUCAGUCAUUGAUUAUUGCUUGAAAAUAUUAAAAUCAAUGUGUGCAUGUCGGUGCAAACAACAGAACAACAAGUUGGGGAUAAUGUUGUUACAGAGAAAAGGAAGAAAUGGGAGGGCAACACAGGGGCUCAUGCUUGAACAACUGAAAGAACCGUCCGCACAACCAAAGGCUUCUAUUAAGUCCUCUUUGGAAACCUCCUGGUCUUGGUGUAAGUGUGUGUAAAAGUCAAGUUGCUUCACAUUUUUAAAGCAUCUUUAAGCAUUUGUUUUUAAAAGAAAAUUCUUUGCACAGGCUAGCUGGUAUGUGUUCAAGUUGAAAAUAAGACACUGGCUAGACUACCUUUGCUUGCACAAACUGUAGUUGGAAUAAACACGAAAUACCUAAUUGACUGGAAUCACUAUUGGAAUCACUAUUAGUUGCAUGCAUGCUGAUAAUAAGAUCAGCAUCAGUGCUUGCUUAAGAAGGGAUAUUUGGAGUGUUUCUGUGGCACAGUGGAACACUAAAAUGUGGAUCAUAUUUCAGUCUUUCAUGUAUUGAGUUCAAAUGUACAGCACCUCUGGUGAAAUUUGCGAAGCAAGUAAAGUACUAAGUUUAGUGACCUAUGAAUGCAUAUGCGCUAUCAAUGAGACAGUAUUGGCACAUCUGGGUUGAACCACCCUAACUUAAAAGCACGGAGGUUAAACUUUCCAAUGGAUAAGGUUUUAUUUCUCCUGUCUGUGCACUAUGUCUACUGAAUUGUUGCUCUGCGUAUUGAGACAGCUUUUGCUUGCUUGUCUCAAUGAGGCUUGCAAAGUGAGGUAUCAGUGUACUUUAUUUGUAAAAUGUAGCUGAAAUCUGGCCUUGAAUUGUCUCGGCAUUUGGAUAAACAAAAUGGUAAAAUGUUUGCUGCAGCCAUACGCUCAAUACUAGCAUCAAAAUUGCUGAAGAUAACAAAUAAAAACAUCCCACCAAACAGGCAGCAGAUCCUAAUCUAAAUGUUUUGAUUUGUCAUUUUAAUAUAAAAAAGUGCAAAAUUUCUUCACUAGACAACCUGUUUGUGUGCCUGUGUAAUGAAACAUGAAGGGAUUUUAAACAAACCUUGAUACCACCUUAUGCGAGGGCCUUCAGCAUAGUCACUUUUCAAUCAUGCUACCUUUUUUUGGUUGUGAACUGUCUGAUCUGAUGGAGAUACAGCUUGGCAUGACUUCAGUCAUAGUUGAGCAGCAGUUGUGAGCCACUUGGUCAACCAAAUGUCUUAAGCCAAACAAAGCAGCGAACAACUUGGAAGUCUGACCAGUGAUGGGGCUGGACGCAUGUUUUUGCCGUGAGCAUUGCACUCUUGAGUCGGAGGCAACAGUUUCGGUUUCAAAAGCAUAAACAAAUCUCUUGGGAAGGAAAAGAGAAUGCUAUUCUCAAAAUAAAGGAAAUUGAUACCAUCUCAUCUAGGUGGCGUGCUGUUAAAUGUUGUAGACUAUUUUUUCUAAGAAUGAUUGUAGCUAUGAAGACAUUGUCCAGAUUUAGAUAAACCCAGUCAAAGGUCUCCUCAAGACAUUGUGUAAGUGUAUGACUCAAACCAUGGAGGAAAUGGCUAGCACAGGACUUUCACAAUACAUAGCUACAUAGUACAAAGUGGCUGAUUAUAUAUCUGUCUCGACUGCUUCAAGUGUAGAAUCAUUCCUUUAAGAGGCAUCUAAUACUAUGUGUUCAUUUGGUUCACUGGCACAUUUCGGCAUGAAACGUAUUGUGGUGCUGAACUUUUCGUCCUGUAUGAUAGGAAAUUCACAUCUCUUCCACUUUCUAGUCUAGUGACUACGCUCAGGUGACUCCGUGAAUUCUACUGUAAUUACCAUAGUUUUCUCCACAUGUGAACAUUUUUUUAUGAAGGUCUUGAUUCCAGCUUUUCAAGUGGCAUUCUAGCAACUUAGUUUUGCUUUACUGUACCUUAAUUUCUCUUAACCACUGACUAUACAUCUACAUUCACACUGGUCUUUCAGUGCUCUUUCCUGUGUGCUUGGAAAAUGUGUUGUUCAGAACUAUGCAGUGUUGCUAGGUUUAGCUAGAUUCUUAAAUUGUUUUGCUGUGUUGCUCUGUUUUCCUAAUUUGCUUUUACAACUUGAUGGGAGAAACUAGACAUGUCAUAUCGAAGGCUACUCGAGUUCAUUGUACAGUUUACCUCAUUCAGGGGGCUUGGUGUUUGUCGACCACAUAAUCCUGUUCUGUGUUGCUAAUUGUUUAACGUUGCCACUUGGUUGCCCUUAUUGCUUAUUGCACGGUAAAGUGCAACGUACUUUAUGAUCUAUCACUAUGAAUGGUUGAGAUCCUGGGUGAAAGAUGUGUGAAUGAACCUUUUUCUUCUCAAGCACAAUAGCAGAUCCAGAGCAGGGUUUCAGGCCACACUUUCACUUUAUCUCACUACUUUUGACACAUAUAAGCUUCCAUCAACUUUAUUUUUAUCUGCUGAGCUGAUGUAGGUACCUUGUGCUGUUUCACAUUUAUUCAACUAAAGGUAAUACUUAAAAUGAUGAAGUCUUCCCCACAUAAUCCAGCUGUAUUUAGUAUUGUAGCACAACUGAUCAUUGCAGGGUUUGGGCAAUCAUGGAACCUGUUUUAUUCUAAAACAUUGUUCAAGCCACUUGGUGAAAUGCACGUCUGUAAUAAAGUUCAAAAUAAAGUACAGAUUUGAUAUCUGUUUGUCAAAGACUCUAUCAAGCCCUAAUAAAUUGAAUGAUCACAAAUCAGUCUAAAACAAAACAUUUCAUCCAAGGAAUCUUUAAAAACCUGACUAAUUUCAAAUAAAGAUACAUAUUGCACAAAACAUUCUUAUUCAUAGUUUAGAUUGCCCAGUUUAUUUAAAUCAUGAAUAGACAUUCGAAAGAUUAAUCAGUGUCAUUGAUUACAUUGACACCUUUAGUCACUUGUUUCAAGAGUUGCAGAUAUGGAGGAGUUUGGGCCACCUGAAAAUUUGACCAUGUGUGAUCAUGGAAACUAAAAAUCACUAAAAAUUUCACAAGCAACACUGUAAAAGCAAUAAGCUUAAAUCAGCUGCUGAGGUGCCAAUGCACAUCCAGCAAUGCAAUCACUGGUACAGCGUUUGUUGGCACUACUUUUCAAGCAAUAGGACUGUGUAGGGAAGACAUUAGCAGUCUUGAAAGCAGUUUUGUUUCUGGAGGUGUAUUCUACUUAUGACACAGCUUAACGUCUUCAUUAAUUUAAUGUUCAAUUGUUUUAUUUGCUCCUUAUGCACAUCUACUUGUUUUUGUUUUUUAUAGUUUACUGGUAGGCAGUCUUCAUAGUCUCGGUCUUAUGAAUAUUUAUAUAAAGCUCAAGAUUUCACAUACAAUAUAUUUUGUGGCCUUUAAAAGGUGAUGCGUUUACAUAUAUACCUUAGGGACUAGUCAUAUUUAUGGUACACGUCUUUUUGUAAUGGGUAACUCUUGUUUUAGUGUAUUAGUUCUUGGUCAUAUGUGCUGUAUUUGAGGUUUGAGCAACAAGAUUACAAAGCUUAAUGUAAUAAAAAUGUUUCUGCAUGAAAUAUUUUACUGCAGUACACUAUCUUCACUUGGUACCUUGCAAUAAUCUGAGCCCGACCCCAAAAAAUAAUCUGGAGUUAAUAUAAUGUGAAUACAUCCAACUACUGAACCAAUAUGCAUAGCCUGCAGUCGUCAUGCAGAAAAAUUGUAGUUGUGAACUCAUUGAGAAACAAAUAUUUUAAUGGUUUAAACUUCAAGUAUUGCCACGUUUUGAAUAGAAUGUACACGAGUCAUGUGCUCAAUACCUGAAUAAAUUCUCUUGAUUGAA
rnacentral:misc_RNA from 1 species